AAAAAAACACUAACAGGUAUGUUGGGCUGCGAUUUUCUCGGUUUGCCGCGUGUGUGUGUGAGUGUGUGUAUACAUUAGACUUUGUUUUGUUUUUUGUGCAACGACUGAGAAAGAGAGUGAGGGUGAGAUAGAUAAUGAGAUGUUAGCUUCUCAGCUUCAUUAAAUGUCAUUUUCGUUUCUCCAAGAUGAAAAAGCUAUGAAGUUUUGCUAAGUCUUAGUACUUCACCAAAGAAAAAUAUUAAAAUAGCAAUAAAAAAAGCAAGAAUAAUGUGAACAUCUGCAUCUGCAUUUUACAAACAAAUACUAAAUAUUUAAGUGUUGUAAGCAUCAAUCAACAAGUCUCGCAGCUCAACAUUUUUCAGGAGUGUCAGAUGAGGUAACUGCCAACCAUGAAAGUGUAUGUACACUUAUCUAUGCCACUAUAUAUAUCGUGCAAAUGUUUCGACCAGUCAGCAUCAAUAAAUGGGAUUAAAAGUUUAUCACAGAGUUUAACACUAUCGACCUCGCUUUAGAGUACAAACUAUAUCAGACAAGAUCCAGUGCCACAAUGUGUACCGAAUGUAUAAAGUGAGAAGAAUUUAAGUAACUUAUACAUCAUUGUUUUUGCUUUACGACUUCACUAAGCAGUCACUCUGCCUUCCUUUACAUCUUGAAUUCCAUGUCAGUAGUCAUAGCUAUAGAUUGCUAGAAAACUUUUCCGCGUUUGAGUCACCUUAGAGGCUGUCAUAGAGACAUUACAGCGGCGAGUAGUGGCAUUACUCCGUUCGAAAACACUUCGCACAUUACAUCACUGCCCCACAACUGCCGUUCAGCAUUAUCGAUGGCAUAAGUCCAGGCUAUCUACGAAUAAUUCAUCAGCUUCUAC
rnacentral:sRNA from 1 species